rnacentral:lncRNA from 1 species
GUGUAACCGCAUUGGGAAUACUGUGUACAGUUCUGGUUGCCUCACCUGAGAAAGGCUAUAGUAGAGUUGGAAAAAGUUCAGAAAAGAGCAUCCAAGGAUCAAGGAAAUGGAGGAAUUCCUCUGUGAGGGAAGGUUGCCGCAUUUGAGACUUCAGUUUAGAGAAAAAGCAAGUAAGAAGUGACAUGAUGGAAAUUUAUGAAACGAUUCAUGGCAUAGAGAAAUGGAUAGAGAAAAGUUUCUUUCCCUUUCUCAUAACACUAUAACUUUUUUAAAUUAUUGGAAAGGGUUCAGUUAUAAAGAAAUAAGCUGAUGCAAAGAAAAAGAGAAGAAGAAAAGAAAAAGAAAAUGGCACAAAAAUGUGUAGGGGGAAAACCCAUAUAUGAAAAAUAACCUUACCCAUACAUUCUUUUAUAAAUUUGAUAUUAUUAUCCUAAUACAGAUGUAAAUAUUAAUAGUCUGCUACAUUUUCUAAAACUUAUUCCAAAUAUUGCCAUAUUUAUCCAAACAAAGACUAAGCAGUCCGUUCAUAAGUUGCAAGGGUUAUCAUAUUGUCUAUGCAUUUAGGAAAGGGGAUCAUAUCUUUAUUCUUCCACUUCAUCAAUAUCAGUCUCUUGGCUACCAUUGGAGCGCGUAUAAUUUAUUUUCAUCACACUAGAACUUAUGGGCAAACAAGGAAGCUGAACUUUGGAAGAUCUUUCACAGAUAAAAGGAAGUACUUUUUCAUGCAGCGCCUAGUUGCAUUUGCAGCCACAGGAGGCUGUGAUGGCCAACAACUUGGAUGACUUUAAAAGAGAAUUAGACAAAUUCGUGGAAGAGGAGGCUACAAGCCAUGUAUCUAGCUGCCAGUUGCUGCAAAUAUCAGGUGGGCAGAGUGCUUCUGUGCUCAUGUCCAGCUUGCAGGCUUCCCACAGGCACCUGGCUGGCCACUUGGAAGACUAGAUGGGCCACUGGCCUGAUCCCGCAAGCUCAAAUUAUGUUCUUUUAAAAAUUACAUACAUCAGACAAUCCAGCUACAAAAGGAUUCCUUGUUUACCCUAAUCAGCAGUCACAGGUUGUGUUUUAUGCUUGUAAUUCUGAAAUUGCUUGACAGAGACAAAAACGUUUUUAAUGUUUAGAAUUAGAUAUGCAAAUAUUUGAGCAAAUCUGAUGUGAACAGGUGUUUGUGAGAUGGAUGGAUGUCUCUUCAUGUGCAAAUAUUUACAGCUGUCCAACUUUGCAGCUGAGCAUUUAUACUGUGCUUCUAUUUUGGAAUGGGCCAGCCAAAAUGGGGCUUUCAAUUUGACGCUCUCUCUCUCUCUCUCUCUCUCUCUCUCUCUCUGUGUGUGUGUUUUUCCAAAGCAAACAAAGCCUGUUAACAUAUAUAUUUUUUUGGGAGGGGGGAAUCUAGGCAACCCCAGACAGAAGAUUAAAUUUGAAAUGGUCAUGCUCUGAAUUGUGCAGUCAGAACCACUGUUUAGAAUUGUUGUUUAAGCAGCAACAAUGUGGUAAAUUAGUCACCCGCCAUAGAAAUGCUAGAAAGAAUGUAAAAACAGAAUAACAAAAAACAUCAGUGGUCUAAGAAAGUAUUCCCCAAUCAGAUGGCCUCCAGGUCUUUUGGACCACAACUUCCAUCAUCCCUGACAAUUGGCCACAGUUUGGGGAAGCCUGGUCUAUGAAUAUGACAUAAGAGGAAACACUGAAGUAAAUGAUUGCUUCUUUCCAUCCUAUUACCUUCUUCAAAGAUGAACUGUUCCCUUCCAUCUUUCUUUUGAAAUGUGGCCAUCAGAACUGAAGAGUAUUCUAGUAAAGGACUCCCACCCAAGAGCUGCUGUCAGUCAGAUGGGACAAUAUUGGGCUCAUUUGACCUGGUAUAAGGUCGCUUCCUGUGUGCCUGUUCUGUGAACAUCACCAUACUCACUGCCAAGCCCAACAUUGAAUAGAGUAUGGUAAGUAUCUCAUUAUUCUUCCUUGUAAUUCCACUACAAAGACUCUCCUCCUGCAAAAGAGGGGAGUGGUUGUGGGCGGGAGCCGGUUUCCGCCUCAAGCAGGGGGCGUUAGCCCCCUGCCUCCCACUCACCUGGCUGGCGCCCAUGCCCACUGACAGGCACCCAACCAGGUGCCUUCGAGGGGGCGUGUACGGCAGCGUAAAUUGCUGCGGCGCCAGCCUCCUGGCCUCACUCUUCGUCGUCCCAUCGCGAGUCACCCACCCUCCACUCCCUUAGAGCUCAGGGUCUCAGUUUUCUUUUGGCCUUGCUAUGGACCUUAGGUUGGUCGCCCAGGUUGUCCAGGGGGCCUGGUAGGAAUUUUUCCAUUGGCAUUAGGCUUUUUGGUUUUUUCGCCUACCUCGUAGCAAUCGUCACAACUUUCGUGGUAUUGGUGGGUAGGUUAGGCAUUGGAAUAAUGUGUUGUGGUGUGUGGAAGGGCUAGGUGUGGUCAUCGCCUAUGCCUUCAAUUUUGGGUAUUCCGUUAAAGGAAUCCGGUGGUCGUGUAUUCUGUCCGAUGCCUGCGUGGCGGGAGGCCAUGGCACGACCCUCGGUGACAUCAGGGGAGAGCUUAUAGUUGGAUUAGCAUCAACAGGCUCCACCUACUGGUGAAUAAACCCCCCUGUUUUAGACUCACCCCUCUCCGAGUGGGUGGAGUCAGCUGACAUAAUCCAGUGCCUAAGCCAAUACCUUUUCACUUGCUGUAAUCAAUAAAGUCGUGGCCUUUUCUUGCCUUAUAUCAUGUGUCCUUGUGUUUUCAUUCCACUAUGCGGGGAUCGGGUCCUCGAACCACAACCCUUUGCUUUUGUUGCAAAGACACUAACUUCUCACCAUUAAUGAUGCCCUCAACCCCCAGACCUUCUCUGUUUUUCCUUGGUAAACAAACAUUCCCAAAGCUGUUAUUGUACCUUGGUUUGUCCUGAUGAAAUGCAGGGCCUUACACUUACCCUUAUUAAAUUUCAUCCCAUUUAUUU